rnacentral:rRNA from 1 species
AUUGAACGCUGGCGGCAGGCCUAACACAUGCAAGUCGAGCGAGCGGCGGACGGGUGAGUAAUGUCUGGGAAACUGCCUGAUGGAGGGGGGUAACUACUGGAAACGGUAGCUAAUACCGCAUACCAUCAGAUGUGCCCAGGUGGGAUUAGCUAGUGGGGGGGGUAACGGCUCACCUAGGCGACGAUCCCUAGCUGGUCUGUGAGGAUGACCAGCCACACUGGAACUGAGAAACGGUCCAGGCUCCUACGGGAGGCAGCAGUGGGGAAUAUUGCACAAUGGGCGAAAGCCUGAUGCAGCCAUGCCGCGUGUGGGAAGAAGGCCUUCGGGUUGUAAAGCACUUUCAGCGGGGAGGCGUUACCCGCAGAAGAAGCACCGGCUAACUCCGUGCCAGCAGCCGCGGUAAUAC